GACGAACGCUGGCGGCGUGCUUAACACAUGCAAGUCGAACGGUGAAGCGCUUUCCUUUUUGGUUGGUGUGGAUGAGUGGCGAACGGGUGAGUAACACGUGAGUAACCUGCCCCCUUCUUCUGGAUAACCGCAUGAAAGUGUGGCUAAUACGGGAUAUUCUGCGCCUGCUGCAUGGUGGGUGGGGGAAAGAUUGUGCCUUUGGGUGUUUUCGGUGGGGGAUGGGCUCGCGGCCUAUCAGCUUGUUGGUGGGGUGAUGGCCUACCAAGGCGGUGACGGGUAGCCGGCCUGAGAGGGUGGACGGUCACACUGGGACUGAGACACGGCCCAGAAUCCUACGGGAGGCAGCAGUGGGGAAUAUUGCACAAUGGGCGCAAGCCUGAUGCAGCGACGCCGCGUGAGGGAUGGAGGCCUUCGGGUUGUGAACCUCUUUCGCCAGUGAAGCAGGCCUGCUCCUUGUGGGUGGGUUGACGGUAGCUGGAGAAGAAGCGCCGGCUAACUACGUG
rnacentral:rRNA from 1 species